rnacentral:rRNA from 1 species
UACGGAGGGGCUAGCGUUGUUCGGAAUUAUCUGGGCGUAAAGCGCACGUAGGCGGUCUUGUAAGUAGAGGUGAAAGCCCGGGGCUCAACUCCGGAAUUGCCUUUAAGACUGCAUCGGCUAGAAUUGGUGGAGAGGUAAGUGGAAUUCCGAAGUGUAGAGGUGAAAUUCGUAGAUAUUCGGAAGAACACCAGGUGGCGAAGGCGACUUACUGGACACAUAUUGACGCUGAGG